GCCAGGCGUGGUGGCGCGUGCCUGUAAUCCCAGCUACUUUGGAGGCUGAGGCAGGAGAAUUGCUUGAACCCAGGAGGCGGAGGUUGCAGUGAGCAGAGAUCGCGCCAUUGCACUCCAGCCUGGGUGACGAAGUGAGACUCUGUCUCAA
rnacentral:SRP_RNA from 1 species